AGAGUUUGAUCAUGGCUCAGAUUGAACGCUGGCGGAAUGCUUUACACAUGCAAGUCGAACGGCAGCACGGGAGCUUGCUCCUGGUGGCGAGUGGCGAACGGGUGAGUAAUGCGUCGGAACGUACCGAGUAAUGGGGGAUAACGCACCGAAAGGUGUGCUAAUACCGCAUACGCCCUGAGGGGGAAAGCAGGGGAUCGCAAGACCUUGCGUUAUUCGAGCGGCCGACGUCUGAUUAGCUAGUUGGUGGGGUAAAGGCCUACCAAGGCGACGAUCAGUAGCGGGUCUGAGAGGAUGAUCCGUCACACUGGAACUGAGACACGGUCCAGACUCCUACGGGAGGCGGCAGUGGGGAAUUUUGGACAAUGGGGGCAACCCUGAUCCAGCCAUUCCGCGUGAGUGAAGAAGGCCUUCGGGUUGUAAAGCUCUUUCAGCUGGAACGAAACGGUACGCUCUAACAUAGCGUGCUAAUGACGGUACCAGCAGAAGAAGCACCGGCUAACUACGUGCCAGCAGCCGCGGUAAUACGUAGGGUGCGAGCGUUAAUCGGAAUUACUGGGCGUAAAGCGUGCGCAGGCGGAUUGUUAAGCAAGAUGUGAAAUCCCCGGGCUUAACCUGGGAAUGGCAUUUUGAACUGGCAGUCUAGAGUGUGUCAGAGGGGGGUGGAAUUCCACGUGUAGCAGUGAAAUGCGUAGAUAUGUGGAGGAACACCAAUGGCGAAGGCAGCCCCCUGGGAUAACACUGACGCUCAUGUACGAAAGCGUGGGUAGCAAACAGGAUUAGAUACCCUGGUAGUCCACGCCCUAAACGAUGUCAACUGGUUGUUGGGGGAGUGAAAUCCCUUAGUAACGAAGCUAACGCGUGAAGUUGACCGCCUGGGGAGUACGGUCGCAAGAUUAAAACUCAAAUGAAUUGACG
rnacentral:rRNA from 1 species